AGAUUAAGCCAUGCAUGUCUCAGUGCAAGCCGUCCAGUACGGUGAAACCGCGAAAGGCUCAUUAAAUCAGUUAUGGUUCCUUAGAUUGUACCCACGUUACUUGGAUAACUGUGGUAAUUCUAGAGCUAAYACAUGCCGACAGAGAUCCGACCAGCGCCGGGCGUUCUGAAAAGUCGUGCGGCGUUCGGAAGGAUCGCUCUUAUUAGAUCAAAACCGGCCAAGCGGUCGUUCGCGUUCCGACGCGYUCGACCGUAAGUGGCCCGCGCAAAGACUUGACGACUCUGAAUAAUUUCGAGCUGAUCGCAUGGUCCUUGUACCGGCGACGUAUCUUUCAAAUGUCUGCCUUAUCAACUGUCGACGGUWGGUUCGAUGCCUACCGUGGUGGUAACGGGUAACGGGGAAUCAGGGUUCGAUUCCGGAGAGGGAGCCUGAGAAACGGCUACCACAUCUAAGGAAGGCAGCAGGCGCGCAAAUUACCCACUCCCAGCUCGGGGAGGUAGUGACGAAAAAUAACGAUACGGGACUCAUCCGAGGCCCCGUAAUCGGAAUGAGUACACUUUAAAACCUUGGUCACACGAGGAUCAAU
rnacentral:rRNA from 1 species